rnacentral:rRNA from 1 species
UACGUAGGGACCGAGCGUUGUCCGGAUUCAUUGGGCGUAAAGAGCUCGUAGGCGGCUGUUCAAGUCGAACGUGAAAACUCGGAGCUCAACUCCGAGCCUGCGUUCGAUACUGGACGGCUAGAGUCUGGUAGGGGGAUCUGGAAUUCCUGGUGUAGCGGUGGAAUGCGCAGAUAUCAGGAGGAACACCCGUGGCGAAGGCGGUUCUCUGGGACGGUACUGACGCUGAGACGCGAAAGCGUGGGGGAGCGAACAGG